UGGGAAUUUGGACAAUGGGCGAAAGCCUGAUCCAGCAAUGCCGCGUGUGUGAAGAAGGCCUUCGGGUUGUAAAGCACUUUUGUCCGGAAAGAAAUCCUUGGCUCUAAUACAGUCGGGGGAUGACGGUACCGGAAGAAUAAGCACCGGCUAACUACGUGCCAGCAGCCGCGGUAAUACGUAGGGUGCAAGCGUUAAUCGGAAUUACUGGGCGUAAAGCGUGCGCAGGCGGUUUGCUAAGACCGAUGUGAAAUCCCCGGGCUCAACCUGGGAACUGCAUUGGUGACUGGCAGGCUAGAGUAUGGCAGAGGGGGGUAGAAUUCCACGUGUAGCAGUGAAAUGCGUAGAGAUGUGGAGGAAUACCGAUGGCGAAGGCAGCCCCCUGGGCCAAUACUGACGCUCAUGCACGAAAGCGUGGGGAGCAAACAGGAUUAGAUACCCUGGUAGUCCACGCCCUAAACGAUGUCAACUAGUUGUUGGGGAUUCAUUUCCUUAGUAACGUAGCUAACGCGUGAAGUUGACCGCCUGGGGAGUACGGUCGCAAGAUUAAAACUCAAAUGAAUUGACGGGGUCAUAGCUGUUUCCU
rnacentral:rRNA from 1 species